GUGCUUCUUUACAGCCAUGAAUAUAAUGCACAUUGGAGCACCUGGAAAGAGCUGAGUGAGCUUGGGAAAGUGGACUAACUUCUGAAUGAUGGUCUUUUCACCUGUGUGAUGAACACAAUGGAGCUUAGCAGCACUGUUGGGAAGAUUGGAACUGAAGAUAUUGAGAACUUACUAUGGGUCUAGUGUUACACUAAGAACUGGAGAUAUAAAGAUGGAAAACAACUCAUAUUAUCCCUACCAUCAAGAAGUUCAUAAGCCAGUGAUGAGACACAUGGGGAACAGUAUGACUUCAUAUUGAAAGAAGAUAAGGACACAAACGAUUGGUGCCUGAUUUAUACCUGAGAAUGCAACAAAGGACUGUGAUUUAGAUCCAUCUCAUACUUGGAAGAUACAGAAGAUAAAGGGGCUCAUUCUAGAUGACUGCAAUAAUAGCUGUUUAAGUUUGAAGAGUUCAAGGGAGUGUCACAAAUCAUCAUCAUUAUGACCAUCAUUCUGUCUUGGAGCAAGAACUUCAUAUGGGUCUCUGGCACCAAAAAGGAUUUUGCAAAAAAAUAUGUUGUCUGGAUGUCAUGACUUCUAACUCAGCUUUUAGAUAAUUGUAGGAGAAAGUCCAAAUGGUAGAACUAACUCAGUCAGAAGGGUCAGAGAUGUUUUGCCCUCACCAAUAUGCUCUUCCUCUCAGCUAUCACACUGAUUCUAGCUGGCUCAGGUCAAAUACAUCAAGAACAUCUUUCUGAAGCCUGGAUCUUCUUGGCCUAGAAAAAUCUGCCAUUGCUGGACACCUGGUUUCCUUCCAUAUCAGGAUUUAGCAUUAAGAAUAUUUCCAAGGGUCCACAAAAAGGAGAACAGAUUGUUAUUUACAAAUUCUUAAUUAUUUGCACUAAUUUUUUGUUUCAUUGACAUGGAUAUUUGAUAGACACUUUAGAUCAUUUAAAGUACUUUAGCUGAAGUCAAGCUUCACUACCUCAUAGGACAGGGCCUAAGUGACAAGGAAAGUACUAAAUAUGACAUUCUGUAUUUCUGAAUUUAACUGGGAGCAUCAUAAGAUAAAUUAGAUAAACUUAAUAUAUGUAAGUGGAAAUAGAGGUUUUGAAUACUUAAAUAAUACUUUGCAAGAAAUGAUAGUUUUUAGUUUUCAUAUAUGAGAUUAAAUAUAAAAUUUCUCCUGCAUAUGGAAAUACAAAAUGUCUAAAUGUACAUGAUGGGAGAUUUCUCUGGUGAAGUUGGGGAUGAAAUAUAAUUCUCAGGAAAAACAAAAACAUGACUUUCUGCUUUAAAGUGGACUUAUUACUGUAAAGGUAUCCCUCAAGAUGCCAAUAUUGCAGCCAUAUAUUUUCUUGUGUUCUUCAAAGGGGGAUCAAGAAUAUAAUAUUACUCGUGCUGAUGAUAUAGCCCAUCCGUAGCGCGCUGACUUUGCAAGCGGAAUGGCCGGGGUUCAAACCCCCAGCACCAUGCAAUGGGGAAGACCCCAUUAAAACAACAGCUAAGUAUCAAAUCAACAAUGUGUCUUUAAAAAGCACUGCUCAGAGCCUGUGACUUCAACAGAAAAAUUACAGAUGGACAGAAUUUGAGGCACUAAGGAGCUAUAGAAGAAAUGUAGGCAGAAGAGAAAGACUUUUGGACGAAGUCACUGGGUGAUGGUAGAAUAAACACAAUGUUAAUUCAGCAGGAUAAACUGUACUCAAGAAAACACUCCAUUUCCAGCUACCUCAAGACAGAUUGCUUUCUCCUCUUCAUCCAUUGUUAUUUUCUCAGUAGGUUAUAGCUGGCAUUUUGUUGUUCUCAUGUGUGAUGUAAGUGGUCUGCUUCCCAAAACAGUUGUUCUCACUUGUUCAGCCAUACGUUAUCUGCUGGGUUUUUCAUUAUCAUUCAUGUACUGCAUAUGACCUCUUCAGAUGAAUUAUAUGUCUUCUUGACUCUCAGUUCUUCAUUAUGCAAAAGCUUUAGAAAUAAAAGCAGGAGAAGCUGAACUAGAGAGGAUAGUAUGAGCGAGUUGUCAUGUGACAUCAGAUUCUGGUUUGUAUUAUAUGACCAUCAUGUGUCAGUAACCACAAUUUCCUUUGUCAUUUUCCAGUAUGGGACACUGUUUCUUUUCUUUUUCAAAAAAUAAAUCAUUCUGUAAGUAUGUUUUCCACACAAAAUAUAUUAAAUG